UUGGGUUGAAAACCGAGGAGAUGAGCUGUGGAUAGGGGUGAAAGGCCAAUCAAACUCCGUGAUAGCUGGUUCUCCCCGAAAUGCAUUUAGGUGCAGCGUUGCGUGUUUCUUGCCGGAGGUAGAGCACUGGAUGGUCUAGGGGGCCUACAAGCUUACCGAAAUCAGCCAAACUCCGAAUGCCGGUAAGUGAGAGCGUGGCAGUGAGACUGUGGGGGAUAAGCUUCAUAGUCGAGAGGGAAACAGCCCAGAUCAUCAGCUAAGGCCCCUAAGUGGUGACUAAGUGGAAAAGGAUGUGGAGUUGCGUUGACAACCAGGAGGUUGGCUUGGAAGCAGCCAUCCUUGAAAGAGUGCGUAAUAGCUCACUGGUCAAGUGAUUCUGCGCCGACAAUGUAGCGGGGCUUAAGUUAUCCGCCGAAGCUGUGGCGCCUGCACUGUUGUGUGGGUGGGUAGGGGAGCGUCGUGUGUGUGGUGAAGUUGCGGGGUGACCUGUGGUGGAGUGCAUGCGAGUGAGAAUGCAGGCAUGAGUAGCGAAUGACGGGUGGGAAACCCGUCCGCCGAAUAUCUAAGGGUUCCAGGGUCAAGUUAAUCUGCCCUGGGUUAGUCGGGGCCUAAGGCGAGGCCGACAGGCGUAGUCGAUGGAUAACGGGUUGAUAUUCCCGUACCGGCGGAGCAACGUCCGUGCCGGGGCGCAUGAUGCUAAGCAUGCGAGGCUGUGGUUUGUCUUUCGGGGCAGGUCAUGGUUGAGUCUGUGAUCCGAUUGUGUAGUAGGCAAGCUGCGGAGGGACGCAGGAAGGUAGCUCAUCCUUGGUUUUGGUUGAUCUGAGGCUAAGUGUGUAGGGCGGGGUGUAGGUAAAUCCGCAUCCUGGGUGCCUGAGACAUGAUGGGCCUAGCCCCUUUGAGGGGUUGGGUUGAGUGAUCCUAUGCUGCCUAGAAAAGCUUCGUUAGCGAGUUGUGAGCCGCCCGUACCCUAAACCGACACAGGUGGAUAAGUAGAGAAUACUAAGGCGAUCGAGUGAAUCGUGGUGAAGGAACUCGGCAAAAUACCCCCGUAACUUCGGGAUAAGGGGGACCUGAUACGUGACCAGCCUUGCGUUGUGAGCGUUGAGGGUCGCAGAGACCAGGCCCAAGCGACUGUUUACUAAAAACACAGGUCCGUGCCAACUCGUAAGAGGACGUAUACGGACUGACUCCUGCCCGGUGCUGGAAGGUUAAGGGGAACUGUCAGCCAUUUUGUGUGGUGAAGCGGUGAACUUAAGCCCCAGUAAACGGCGGUGGUAACUAUAACCAUCCUAAGGUAGCGAAAUUCCUUGUCGGGUAAGUUCCGACCUGCACGAAUGGAGUAACGAUUUGGGCGCUGUCUCCACCACGAACCCGGUGAAAUUGCAUUACGAGUAAAGAUGCUCGUUACGCGCAGCAGGACGGAAAGACCCCGGGACCUUUACUAUAGUUUGGUAUUGGUGAUCGGUGUGACUUGUGUAGGAUAGGUGGGAGACUGUGAAGCCGGGACGCUAGUUUCGGUGGAGUCGCCGUUGAAAUACCACUCUGGUCACUCUGGUUAUCUAACCUAGGACCGUUAUCCGGUUCAGGGACAGUGCCUGAUGGGUAGUUUGACUGGGGCGGUCGCCUCCUAAAAGGUAACGGAGGCGCCCAAAGGUUCCCUCAGCCUGGUUGGCAAUCAGGUGUUGAGUGUAAGUGCACAAGGGAGCUUGACUGUGAGACUGACGGGUCGAGCAGGUACGAAAGUAGGAACUAGUGAUCCGGCGAUCCCGUGUGGGUGGGUCGUCGCUCAACGGAUAAAAGGUACCCCGGGGAUAACAGGCUGAUCCUGCCCAAGAGUCCAUAUCGACGGCAUGGUUUGGCACCUCGAUGUCGGCUCGUCGCAUCCUGGGGCUGGAGUCGGUCCCAAGGGUUGGGCUGUUCGCCCAUUAAAGCGGCACGCGAGCUGGGUUUAGAACGUCGUGAGACAGUUCGGUCCCUAUCCGCUGCGCGCGUAGGAGUCUUGAGAAGGGCUGUCCUUAGUACGAGAGGACCGGGACGGACCAACCUCUGGUGUGCCAGUUGUUCCGCCAGGAGCACGGCUGGUUGGCUACGUUGGGAAGUGAUAACCGCUGAAAGCAUCUAAGCGGGAAGCACGCUUCAAGAUGAGG
rnacentral:rRNA from 1 species